rnacentral:rRNA from 1 species
UACAGAGGGGGGCGAGCGUUGUUCGGAAUUACUGGGCGUAAAGGGCGCGUAGGCGGCCAACUAAGUCAGACGUGAAAUCCCUCGGCUCAACCGGGGAACUGCGUCUGAUACUGGAUGGCUUGAGUUUGGGAGAGGGAUGCGGAAUUCCAGGUGUAGCGGUGAAAUGCGUAGAUAUCUGGAGGAACACCGGUGGCGAAGGCGGCAUCCUGGACCGACACUGACGCUGAGGAGCGAAAGCCAGGGGAGCAAACGGG